rnacentral:rRNA from 1 species
AUUGAACGCUGGCGGCAUGCCUUACGCAUGCAAGUCGAACGGCAGCGGGGACUUCGGUCCGCCGGCGAGUGGCGAACGGGUGAGUAAAGUAUCGGAACGUGCCCAGUCGUGGGGGAUAACGUAGCGAAAGUUACGCUAAUACCGCAUACGAUCUAUGGAUGAAAGCGGGGGAUCGCAAGACCUCGCGCGAUUGGAGCGGCCGAUAUCAGAUUAGGUAGUUGGUGGGGUAAAGGCUCACCAAGCCGACGAUCUGUAGCUGGUCUGAGAGGACGACCAGCCACACUGGGACUGAGACACGGCCCAGACUCCUACGGGAGGCAGCAGUGGGGAAUUUUGGACAAUGGGCGAAAGCCUGAUCCAGCCAUGCCGCGUGCAGGAUGAAGGCCUUCGGGUUGUAAACUGCUUUUGUACGGAACGAAAAGGUUUGGGCUAAUAAGCUGAGCUCAUGACGGUACCGUAAGAAUAAGCACCGGCUAACUACGUGCCAGCAGCCGCCGUAA